GACGGAGGAUGCAAGCGUUAUCCGGAAUGAUUGGGCGUAAAGCGUCCGCAGGUGGCAGUUCAAGUCUGCUGUCAAAGACCGGGGCUUAACUUCGGAAAGGCAGUGGAAACUGAACAGCUAGAGUUUGGUAGGGGUUGCGGGAAUUCCCAGUGUAGCGGUGAAAUGCGUAGAUAUUGGGAAGAACACCGGUGGCGAAAGCGCGCGACUGGACCUGAACUGACACUGAGGGACGAAAGCUAGGGGAGCGAAAGGG
rnacentral:rRNA from 1 species